AACGAACGCUGGCGGCAUGCCUAACACAUGCAAGUCGAACGAGACCUUCGGGUCUAGUGGCGCACGGGUGCGUAACGCGUGGGAACCUGCCCUUAGGUUCGGAAUAACUCCCCGAAAGGGGUGCUAAUACCGGAUAAUGUCUUCGGACCAAAGAUUUAUCGCCUUUGGAUGGGCCCGCGUUGGAUUAGCUGGUUGGUAGGGUAAAAGCCUACCAAGGCGACGAUCCAUAGCUGGUCUGAGAGGAUGAUCAGCCACACUGGGACUGAGACACGGCCCAGACUCCUACGGGAGGCAGCAGUGGGGAAUAUUGGACAGUGGGCGAAAGCCUGAUCCAGCAAUGCCGCGUGAGUGAUGAAGGCCUUAGGGUUGUAAAGCUCUUUUACCCGGGAUGAUAAUGACAGUACCGGGAGAAUAAGCUCCGGCUAACUCCGUG
rnacentral:rRNA from 1 species